rnacentral:rRNA from 1 species
GACGAACGUUGGCGGCGUGCUUAAUACAUGCAAGUCAACUGAAGCAGUGGUAGCAAUAUCGCUGUGGAGGUGGCGCACGGGUGAGUAACACGUAGGUAAUCUGCCUUCAGGUCUGGCAUAACUCCGGGAAACCGGGGCUAAUAGCAGAUGAUGCAGCGGCUCGACAUCGAGACAGUUGUUAAAGCUAUGGCGCCUGAAGAUGAGCCUGCGUCUGAUUAGCAAGUUGGCGGGGUAACGGCCCACCAAGGCAACGAUCAGUAGCUGGUCUGAGAGGAUGAUCAGCCACACUGGAACUGAGACACGGUCCAGACUCCUACGGGAGGCAGCAGUAAGGAAUAUUGCUCAAUGGGAGAAAUCCUGAAGCAGCAACGCCGCGUGAGGGACGAAGGGCUUUGGCUUGUAAACCUCUGUAGUGAGAGAAAAAAAUCCCAAUCUUUGGGACAUGAUGGUAUCUCAAAAGUAAGCCCCGGCUAACUACGUG